UACGUAGGGUCCGAGCGUUGUCCGGAAUUAUUGGGCGUAAAGGGCUCGUAGGCGGUCUGUUGCGUCGGGAGUGAAAACUUACAGCUUAACUGUGAGCGUGCUUUCGAUACGGGCAGACUUGAGGCAUUCAGGGGAGAACGGAAUUCCUGGUGUAGCGGUGAAAUGCGCAGAUAUCGGGAGGAACACCGGUGGCGAAGGCGGUUCUCUGGGCCUUACCUGACACUGAGGAGCGAA
rnacentral:rRNA from 1 species